GAAUGGCCCCUUUGAAGAAAAAUAUUGGCGGUUAAGUUCAAUUUUUGAGCAAAUUUUCCCUUGCUUUUUCCUCCACGGGGCGAAAACCAAGGCGCUCGUGCGAACUUUGACCCCUAAUAAUUUUCUUUCAGAGGGACCAUUCGGCGGAACGAUAAGCGCCAUGUGAUUCCUAAUUUUUGGCUUGAUUUUUUGAUAUAAUUCGUUAGUCAAUCCCGGUGUAGCUUGAAAAAAGGUCCCAUUGUUAGUCAUACAAAUUUUGAAAAGCCAGAGUUGGAGGUUCCAUACAAAAUAUAUGAUGUGGUUCCAACGCCAUGAGGAACCAAAUGUGAUUACUGAAGAAUAUGAGCAGGGGACAUACGUAUAUUUCGAUAUAGAAAAGUGGGGUCAGAGGAAAAAGGACGGAUUCGUGUUCGAAUAUCGCUAUCUGGGAGAUAGAGAUUUGAGAUAAUCAAGUCGCUCUUAA